AGUGAACGCUGGCGGUAGGCCUAACACAUGCAGGUCGAACGGCAGCACAGUAAGAGCUUGCUCUUACGGGUGGCGAGUGGCGGACGGGUGAGGAAUACAUCGGAAUCUACUUUUUCGUGGGGGAUAACGUAGGGAAACUUACGCUAAUACCGCAUACGACCUACGGGUGAAAGCAGGGGAUCUUCGGACCUUGCGCGAUUGAAUGAGCCGAUGUCGGAUUAGCUAGUUGGCGGGGUAAAGGCCCACCAGGGCGACGAUCCGUAGCUGGUCUGAGAGGAUGAUCAGCCACACUGGAACUGAGACACGGUCCAGACUCCUACGGGAGGCAGCAGUGGGGAAUAUUGGACAAUGGGCGCAAGCCUGAUCCAGCCAUACCGCGUGGGUGAAGAAGGCCUUCGGGUUGUAAAGCCCUUUUGUUGGGAAAGAAAAGCAGCAGGUUAAUACCCCGCUGUUCUGACGGUACCCAAAGAAUAAGCACCGGCUAACUUCGUG
rnacentral:rRNA from 1 species